AAAUGAAUAGACGGGGGCCCGCACAAGCGGUGGAGCAUGUGGUUUAAUUCGACGCAACGCGAAGAACCUUACCAGGAUUUGACAUCCUCUGACAACCACAGAGAUGUGGUGUUCGGUCUUUUAGAUUGACAGAGAGACAGGUGGUGCAUGGUUGUCGUCAGCUCGUGUCGUGAGAUGUUGGGUUAAGUCCCGCAACGAGCGCAACCCUUAUUCUUAGUUGCCAUCACGUGAAGGUGGGCACUCUAAGGAGACUGCCGGUGACAAACCGGAGGAAGGUGGGGAUGACGUCAAAUCAUCAUGCCCUUUAUGUCCUGGGCUACACACGUGCUACAAUGGCCUGUACAGCGGGAAGCGAAGCCGCGAGGUGGAGCCAAUCCCCAAAAGCAGGUCUCAGUUCGGAUUGCAGGCUGCAACUCGCCUGCAUGAAGUAGGAAUCGCUAGUAAUCGCGGAUCAGCACGCCGCGGUGAAUACGUUCCCGGGCCUUGUACACACCGCCCGU
rnacentral:rRNA from 1 species